rnacentral:SRP_RNA from 3 species
CCGCACUAGACGGGGAGCCAGCGGUGCCCUGUAUCCGCAAUCCGCUCUAGCGGAGUUGAAUCCCUCCCCUCGGCUAGGCCAAAGGACCCCUGUUCUGUCUGAUGAUAUAGAGGAUUGGGUCCUGCGCGACGUAGACUUGUGAACCCCGCCAGGUCCGGAAGGAAGCAACGGUAAGCAGGAUCCUGCGGGUGCCGCGGGAGCGCCUGGUCUGAGUUGUCACUCAGGACAUGCCCAGUGGUCAAUGACAACGGGAGGUGUGCGG